UGUAUUAAUCGGAUUUUUGAACUUGGAGUAUGGUGCUGGAGCUUGCUCCACCCUGCUCACGGGUUGUCCUGGUAUUGCAGUACCUCCAGGUUCGGCUCACGUUUC
rnacentral:snRNA from 1 species